UACGUAGGGUGCAAGCGUUAUUCGGAAUUACUGGGCGUAAAGCGUGCGCAGGCGGCUGGGCAAGUCAGAUGUGAAAUCCCCGGGCUCAACCUGGGAACUGCAUUUGUGACUGCACGGCUGGAGUGCGGAAGAGGGGGAUGGAAUUCCGCGUGUAGCAGUGAAAUGCGUAGAUAUGCGGAGGAACACCGAUGGCGAAGGCAAUCCCCUGGGCCGGCACUGACGCUCAUGCACGAAAGCGUGGGGAGCAAACAGG
rnacentral:rRNA from 1 species